GAUUCCUAUUGCAGCGCAGUGGAGCCCUGCGACCUUUCGCAGACGUCGAAAAAAGAGUAAGAUGAUAAUAGUUGGUCGAUUGUAUAUUGUAUUACGCAUAGCCGUAAGCUCUGCAGAUGCGUGAUGCGCUAAACGUGACGCGGUGGUACGACGGCGGCGGCGGCGGCGGCGGCGGUGGCGGCCGGGGCGAGACCCCGUCUACGGAACAGCGCUGUUUUUGGGCAUCGUCACCGGGAAAAAUCGAUUGUCUGAUAGGAUGCAGAAAAUAUGGAUCCGUGACGCAGUUGCUCAAAGGGCCGGCCUGGUUUUAAACCGAGGCAUUUCGAAAAAGUUUCUCUCCAAGUUGGCUAGGUCGCCAGUCGCGAGCCUGCGCACCGUUAAACGCGCAAUGCGACACGCGAUAGAGUAGGACAGGCUGACCGGUAAUCUCGUUAAAAAGAGACGAAAAGGGGGAUGGAGAAGCGCACAGCGGCGUUCACGAUUAAGGGAAUGAAGAAAACUUAAAUAAAUCAAAGGAAGAAGGAAGAAGAAAUCUCGCUUAUAGCUAUUUCUUUAUUAGUUCCUUUUUUUUUUUACAAUGAUCGUUAAAUUAUCUGCAAUAUACGUCUAACUUUGUUCUCGAAGAAUUAAUUUAUUUGUACACUAAUGCAACAGUUUAAAGAUAAGCAGGUACUAUUGCCACGUGGGGGCAAACGAACGAAUAAAUAGUAUUUGUAAACCUUUGA